GUAAGCAUGCUGAUUAGAAGAAAAUUGGACAAGUGUCGUCUGCUUGCGUCUAGUCAGUUUAGUUUAAAAUUUCGAAGAAGUCAGUUACAAAGUUCCAGAUUUAUAUUCUUAUAGAUUUAUUUGUUUUAGAUAACCGUCAUACUCCAUGCUGUGUAGUCUCUGGUAGCGGAUUUGAUGCCAGAGCCAGCCAUCAUAACCACACAAUAUGCAAAUUUGGCUUGUGCAGGUGUCAACCAGCAGCAACAGUUUCAGGAUCAUCGCUUGGAUAAACAGCAUCCCAUUGCAUUGGAAUGCAAUCGAAUGCAUUGUCAAUCGAGUUACAGAUCUCUCUUUUUCAACUUUCUUAAAUGUCCUCGUGUACGCCCAUGUGAAUGUGGGGUGUAUUCACGAAGACACUCUUUUACCCUAUGGUGUAAUUUGACUCUUCAGCGGAUGGAUGGAGCAGCUGACGUAGAUGCCUGGCUGUAUUUCCCAAGCAUAAAGUCCCGUAUAGCAACACCGGAGUUGUAGUCAGUCCUACAUAUUAGCUGAUUGCUGACUGGCUGGUUGGCUGGACCAUACAUUUGGGCCUUGUCUCAACUCUACAAGAUAGCAGUUGCAUGUGCUGCUUGAUGCCGGACCUAAAAUAGCCCGUGUCCUCUACCAUAGCGACCUUGUCUGCAGUAUAUUUCUUUGACUGUUCCAGCACACGUGAAGACGAAGAGGAAUCCCGCCAUUUCGUCGUAAUUAUCAAUUCAAUAGGGUCUAGACCAGACGCAAACAAAUAUGGAUGCGCUAUUAUUAUAUAUUAAUUCCCUUAUUAUUAUUCCAACUGGUUAGUAGUAUAAUAU